rnacentral:rRNA from 1 species
CGCGUAGGCGGCCUAAUAAGUAGGGGGUGAAAUCCUGCAGCUUAACUGCAGGGCUGCCUCCUAAACUGUUGGGCUAGAGCACGGUAGAGGCAGAUGGAAUUCCCGGUGUAGCGGUGGAAUGCGUAGAGAUCGGGAAGAACAUCAGUGGCGAAGGCGGUCUGCUGGGCCGUUGCUGACGCUGAGGCGCGACAGCGUGGGGAGCAAACA